rnacentral:rRNA from 1 species
CGUAUAUUAAAGUUGUUGCAGUUAAAAAGCUCGUAGUUGGAUUUGUGGUGUAUUGUGGGUUCCGGGCACUUGUUGUCUGAGUAACUUGCGGUUNNCAUCCUUGGGUGGAACCUGUGUGGCAUUAGGUUGUCGUGCAGGGGACCCCAUCGUUUACUGUGAAAAAAUUAGAGUGUUCAAAGCAGGCUUAUGCCGUUGAAUAUAUUAGCAUGGAAUAAUAAGAUAGGUCUUUGGUCCUAUUUUGUUGGUUUGCGGACCAGAGAAAUGAUUAACAGGGACAGUUGGGGG